CACAGGCUCUGCUAGAGAUGUUAAGUAUUCUCUCUCCCUGAAAGCUGGUUCUUCUGAAAUCGAAAUAUUCAGGGGGGAAGGAAAAGAGGCACAGGGCAUCUGAAUUCCAAAGGACUAGGGAAGCCACCACUUCCCGGAUAACUGCACUCCCUCCACCUUACACCUAAAACAAGGUUGAAGAGUCCUGUCAGGGCCAUCUCAAAAGGAGAAGCAAAGCCUGCAGAGGAGGCCAGCCUGAGUCCUGGGAUGCGAACGGGUGCUGGGCUCAGCAUGAGGAGGAGGAGACCCUGGCCACAGUUCCAUGAAUCUUUGCUCCCUUCCACAUUAUGGAUUCUGGUAAAUUCAUUGGCCUACCCAAGUCUGAGCUCUAGGUCUGAACCCGCAUGGACCUGAGGGUGCACCGGGAAAAGAAAGGCUGACAACUGGAUCCCGGGAAUGUCAAGGCCACCCUGGGCUUGGAGGGACCGGCCAUGCCUCCAAGCCCCGCCCAGAGAGGGGGUUCAGGAUGCUGUGUUGUUCCAGGUGAUCUAUUGCUUUCUGGAGUUUAAAGUUCAGAGGAUCAUGAAGUACCACAGCUGGAAGGGGUGUAAGUGACACUGACUAGCCUAACUCUCUUAAAAAUCAUAGCCCUACUCCUGCCUCCCCAAAUCGGAUACGACAGGCAUAGGCUGUGACUGUUCCUUAAAUCUUAGUGGCAAUACUCUCUGACCAGUUUUGCGGGGUGCUCCCAGUUUCAUUGCUUUUGUAACAGGUGGCCAGAAAGCUUGGGGUCCCGUGAUAAGAGUUUCAGUUCUUUCCAGGAUGGAUGGAAAGAAGGAAGGAAGGAUGGAUGGAUGAAUGAAUGAGUGGGUGAGCGGAUGGAUGGAUGGAUGGAUGGAUGGAUGGAUGGAUGGACGGAUGAAAAGAUGGGCCAGAGCCUCGGAACGGUAAUGCCGGCCAGACGGGUCCGAGCCCCUCGGGAGCCCCAGCCCUCCUCCGGCUGCGGGGCCGCUGCUCCUGCUCCCGGGCCGUCACGGAGCCCUGAGGGAGGGGGCGGGCGAGCGGGGGCC
rnacentral:lncRNA from 1 species